rnacentral:tmRNA from 1 species
GGGGGCGCAAGGGUUCGACGGGAGUAGUGAGGUCUUUAAUGGCACGCCAGGGCCCACCCACCCUGUCAAAAAGGUGGAAACCAAAACUGCUAACAAUCAGCUAGCACUGGCUGCUUAAUGUGGCCACGCUCACGGUGUCCAGCCCGCGGGAUGCCGAUGGGCGUCACUUAGCGGGAUAGUCCGGACCAAGAUGCCCUUUCGAGGCCCGGGCGAAAGUUGAAUGGGGCUGGUCGGGUAUGCACGCCAGUCGGCGGAAUACACGAUGAGAUCGACAUAGGCUGGAUAAGCGUGUAGAUGUUAUCGACUGAAGAUUUCCGGACGCGGGUUCAAUUCCCGCCGCCUCCACCA